rnacentral:tRNA from 1 species
AGUUAAUUAAUUUAUAUAAAAUAUUUAUUUUGAAAAUAAAAAAUAGAAUUUAAUUCUAUUAACUU